UGCUGCAAGAACUACCGGCGUGCGAUUGUGACAUACUUCCUUACAACGCCAUAUUUCCCAUAUUAUUGGUAUGGAAUGUAAAGAAGUAUGUAGCAUUCCCAUGCACUUUUUCAAAGUUUCCUA
rnacentral:precursor_RNA from 8 species